rnacentral:rRNA from 1 species
AGCGAACGCUGGCGGCAGGCCUAACACAUGCAAGUCGAACGAACUCUUCGGAGUUAGCGGCGGACGGGUGAGUAACACGUGGGAACGUGCCUUUUGGUUCGGAAUAACUCAGGGAAACUUGUGCUAAUACCGAAUGUGCCCUUCGGGGGAAAGAUUUAUCGCCAUUAGAGCGGCCCGCGUCUGAUUAGCUAGUUGGUGAGGUAACGGCUCACCAAGGCGACGAUCAGUAGCUGGUCUGAGAGGAUGACCAGCCACACUGGGACUGAGACACGGCCCAGACUCCUACGGGAGGCAGCAGUGGGGAAUCUUGCGCAAUGGGCGAAAGCCUGACGCAGCCAUGCCGCGUGAAUGAUGAAGGUCUUAGGAUUGUAAAAUUCUUUCACCGGGGACGAUAAUGACGGUACCCGGAGAAGAAGCCCCGGCUAACUUCGU